rnacentral:rRNA from 1 species
CACGUAGUUAGCCGGGGCUUCUUAGUCAGGUACCGUCAUUUUCUUCCCUGCUGAUAGAGCUUUACAUACCGAAAUACUUCUUCACUCACGCGGCGUCGCUGCAUCAGGGUUUCCCCCAUUGUGCAAUAUUCCCCACUGCUGCCUCCCGUAGGAGUUUGGGCCGUGUCUCAGUCCCAAUGUGGCCGGUCGCCCUCUCAGGCCGGCUACUGAUCGUCGCCUUGGUGAGCCGUUACCCCACCAACAAGCUAAUCAGACGCGGGUCCAUCCUAUACCACCUCAGUUUUUCACACCGAACCAUGCGGUUCUAGUGCGCUUAUGCGGUAUUAGCAGUCAUUUCUAACUGUUAUCCCCCUGUAUAGGGCAGGUUACCCACGCGUUACUCACCCGUCCGCCACUCAGUCAUAAAAGUCCUCAUCCGAAGAAUCGUCCUUAAAUGCUUCGUUCGACUUGCAUGUGUUAAGCACGCCGCCAGCGUUCAUCCUGAGCCAGGAUCAAACUCU